rnacentral:rRNA from 1 species
CAGCAGCCGCGGUAAUACGAAGGGUGCAAGCGUUAAUCGGAAUUACUGGGCGUAAAGCGUGCGUAGGCGGUUUGUUAAGUCUGCUGUGAAAUCCCUGAGCUUAACUUAGGAAUUGCAUUCGAUACUGGGAAGCUAGAGUAUGGGAGAGGAUGGUAGAAUUCCAGGUGUAGCGGUGAAAUGCGUAGAGAUCUGGAGGAAUACCGAUGGCGAAGGCAGCCAUCUGGCCUAAUACUGACGCUGAGGUACGAAAGCAUGGGGAGCAAACAGGAUUAGAUACCCCGGUAGUCCCUGUCUCUUAUAC